AUUGAACGCUGGCGGCACGCCUUACACAUGCAAGUCGAACGGUAACAGGUCUUCGGAUGCUGACGAGUGGCGAACGGGUGAGUAAUACAUCGGAACGUGCCUAGUAGUGGGGGAUAACUACUCGAAAGAGUGGCUAAUACCGCAUGAGAUCUACGGAUGAAAGCAGGGGAUCGCAAGACCUUGUGCUACUAGAGCGGCCGAUGGCAGAUUAGGUAGUUGGUGGGGUCAAAGCUUACCAAGCCGACGAUCUGUAGCUGGUCUGAGAGGACGAUCAGCCACACUGGGACUGCGACACGGCCCAGACUCCUACGGGAGGCAGCAGUGGGGAAUUUUGGACAAUGGGCGCAAGCCUGAUCCAGCAAUGCCGCGUGCAGGAUGAAGGCCUUCGGGUUGUAAACUGCUUUUGUACGGAACGAAAAGCCCUGGGUUAAUACCCUGGGGUCAUGACGGUACCGUAAGAAUAAGCACCGGCUAACUACGUGCCAGCAGCCGCGGUAAUAC
rnacentral:rRNA from 1 species